UACCGCAUACGCCCUACGGGGGAAAGCAGGGGAUCGCAAGACCUUGCACUAUUAGAGCGGCCGAUAUCGGAUUAGCUAGUUGGUGGGGUAACGGCUCACCAAGGCGACGAUCCGUAGCUGGUUUGAGAGGACGACCAGCCACACUGGGACUGAGACACGGCCCAGACUCCUACGGGAGGCAGCAGUGGGGAAUUUUGGACAAUGGGGGAAACCCUGAUCCAGCCAUCCCGCGUGUGCGAUGAAGGCCUUCGGGUUGUAAAGCACUUUUGGCAGGAAAGAAACGUCAUGGGCUAAUACCCCGUGAAACUGACGGUACCUGCAGAAUAAGCACCGGCUAACUACGUGCCAGCAGCCGCGGUAAUACGUAGGGUGCAAGCGUUAAUCGGAAUUACUGGGCGUAAAGCGUGCGCAGGCGGUUCGGAAAGAAAGAUGUGAAAUCCCAGAGCUUAACUUUGGAACUGCAUUUUUAACUACCGAGCUAGAGUGUGUCA
rnacentral:rRNA from 1 species